CGUAAAAUAGCUGAGUAAGGCAUUAGACUGUAAAUCUAAAGACAGAGGCUAAACUUACUCUUUUUACCA
rnacentral:tRNA from 1 species